rnacentral:rRNA from 1 species
GGAAAUCUCACCAGGCCCGGACACUGGAAGGAUUGACAGACUGAGAGCUCUUUCUCGAUUCGGUGGGUGGUGGUGCAUGGCCGUUCUUAGUUGGUGGAGCGAUCUGUCUGGUUAAUUCCGAUAACGAACGAGACCCCAACCUGCUAACUAGCCCUCGGGUCCUGCUUCUGUUGGGCCCGACGGAAUGAUUCGCUUCUUAGAGGGACUCGCGGCGCCUAGCCGCACGAAGGGGGGCGAUAA